ACAGAACCGCAGAUAAUCACUCUGGUUACGGUAUUUGAAAGGGCUAACAAGUGCACCAAUUCAUUACAAAUUCAGACAAUCAAGUAUUGAGGUCUUAUUGUAAAGCAGCAGUAUAUGCAAGGCACUAGACUUACAGCUAUUUAUAUUAAAGAUACAUAAAUAAAUACAUAUUUUCAUAACCAGUUUCAUACACUAAUACACGCAAGAUUAACAGUCAUUAUAAUCCUAUGCGUAACACUACACCUGCGCCGGUUUAGGACAGAGCAAACAGUAGGCUUAAUUCUUAACGCGUUUAACUAUAGCAGGCUGUGUGGUCAGGUGGUUAACGACAAGGGCUUCUAGUCAGACGGUCCCUGGUUCAAAUCCCGGCUCAUUCACUGACUCAAUGUGUGACCUUGAGCAAGUCAUUUUUACCUUGUGCUCUGUUUUUCGUGCGAGACGUUGUUGUAAGUGACACUGCAGCUGAUAGCUCACACACCCUAGUCUCUGUAAGUCGCCUUGGAUAAAGAUGUCUGCUAAAUAAACAAAUAGUGUUUUGGAUAUAAAAUACUGGUAACAAUUUAAAUCACCCUCCACUAUCCGAGUACACCACAACUGUAACAGCAUUUACAUUAUAUCCUUGAAUACACGGCAAAAUAUAGGCUACUGCGCAAUGCACUAGUAGGCUAUAUAUACUAGUUUGAUGUGUCGUUUGAAUCAAAUGUAAGCGUACGAAGUCGGGAUUUGAACAUAUGAAGAAAUGAAACACUAACACGAUGAUUAAUAGCCUAUAUCCAUUGCGCCACCAAUGCAUAACGCAAAUAAACAUAAAUUUGAAUCUCCAUAUUCUUAAAACUGCUGUUGACAGCUGGCGCUGAUCAAGUCCUUAUAACAUAUAUUUCCAAAAAAAAAAAAACUGGCAUUCAAGAUUUGAUACUUCAAAUUAAAAACUAGCCAUCCAGGACAUUGAUAAAACUCGCUCUAGUGCUUGUCGGCGCGGUUGGCUUAGCGGGCUGAGCACAGCUUCCCGUGCUUUGCCUGUGUGGAGCUGCGGUCCGCUCAGCCUCACCUCUCUGUCCGCGGGUUCGCGUCCAGCAUUCUGUUCCAAUACCUGCGGGAGACAGGCGUGAGUUUCUCGGGCUUUGUUCUCUACCGCGUCGGCGUUUUGGGGUAUUGCCGUUUUAUAGGCAUUACCCCAAAACAGUUCAAAGGGGCAGUGGAACUUGAGCGACAUAACUAAUUGUAAAAACGGGGCCCUUUUACCUCUGCGAAAGGAAAAACCCUCAACCAUCCCCAAGCAGCGUGAGUGGAUGCAGUACCAGCACUGCCCAGUUCAGCGCUGUUCCUCCUACCAGGUAUACCUGUACUGUAACCACGCCCUCAGGUGUGUCGCUGGGUCACCACGCCUCUUCCAGGUAGACAUCCCCCCGUGGCCACGCCCAUUCCAGGUAGAUCAGAAAGAUGGCGGGCAGGGUAACAAGAAAAGAAAUACUCUUGCAUACUGAAUACAAGGAGAGGAGACCUAUUUAGUUAUUUGGAACAGUCCCCCUCUGCCGCAGGUCCCAUCUCUCCAGAGCUGGGGCUGGGAGCCCUGUCCUUUUCCAGCCCUCAAACACAAUCUACUAAAGCACUGAGAGCUGCACUUUUACACCAUGGCUUUGCAAUCACAAUCCUGGGGUUUCCUCUCCUCCCCCAAACCAGGAUCCCGGCCGUUCUCCCGAGCCUGGGGUCCUGAAGGAAGCAGGUUGAGGCAGGGAGUCCCAUGGAAAGACCAGCGACUGACACAAGGAGCCCACUGAUGAAUAGCUGUGUGUGUGUUUUUUUUCACCCAGGAAUGGCAUUGUGUAUUUAUCUAAUCAUUGCACCUUUGUUAUUGUCUUGAAUUUCCAUUGUAAUGUUAAUAAAAGUUUGUAUUAUU